rnacentral:rRNA from 1 species
AGGGUUUGAUCCUGGCUCAGAAUGAACGCUGGCGGCGUGGCUAAGACAUGCAAGUCGAACGAACCAUUUAUGGUUAGUGGCGAAAGGGUUAGUAAUGGUUAGGUAACGUACCCCAUGCUUCAGGAUAGCGUCAGUUACUUCGGUAACUUUCCGAAAGGGGCGGUAAUACUGAAUAAUAUCAUAGGUUGAUAGACUUAUGAUCAAAGAUUUAUCGACGUGGGAGCGGCCUAAUUCCUAUCAGCUUGUUGGUGAGGUAAUGGCUCACCAAGGCUUUGACGGGUAGCGGGACUGAGAGGUUGGCCCGCAACAUCGGGACUGAGACACUGCCCGGACCUCCACGGAGGGCUGCAGUAACGAAUAUUGUGCAAUGGGCGAAAGCCUGACACAGCGACGCCGCGUGUAGGAGGAAGUCCUUCGGGAUGUAAACUACUUUUCGGAAUAAGAAAGUCUUCGGAUUGAUCUAAACCGGAAUAAGUCACGGCUAACUUCGUGCCAGCAGCCGCGGUAAUACGAAGGUGGCAAGCGUUAUUCGGUAUCACUGGGCUUAAAGCGUGUGUAGGUGGAAGAGUAAGUGUUUUGUGAAAGCCCUCGGCUUAACCGAGGAAUUGCUUAGCAUACUGCUUUUCUUGAGGCAAGUAGGGGUACGUGGAACUCUUGGUGGAGCGGUGGAAUGCGUAGAUAUCAAGAGGAACGCCGAUGGUGAAGACAAUGUACUGGACUUGUCCUGACACUCAGACACGAAAGCGUGGGGAGCAAACAGGAUUAGAUACCCUGGUAGUCCACGCUGUAAACGAUGCCUACUAGGUCGUGGGAGUUCUGACGCUUUCACGGCCGAAGCAAAAGUGUUAAGUAGGCCGCCUGGGGAGUACGGUCGCAAGGCUAAAACUCAAAGGAAUUGACGGGGGCUCACACAAGCGGUGGAGCAUGUGGAUUAAUUCGAAACAACGCGCAGAACCUUACCUGGGUUUGACAUGCUUGGAUGCCCUUCUGGAAACAGAAGUAAGCUGCCCUUCGGGGUGAAACUUGCACAGGUGCUGCAUGGCUGUCGUCAGCUCGUGUCGUGAGAUGUCGGGUUAAGUCCUUUAACGAGCGAAACCCUUACCGUUAGUUGCCAGCGCGUCAUGGCGGGGACUCUAACGGGACUGCCGGUGUUAAACCGGAGGAAGGUGGGGAUGACGUCAAGUCCUCAUGGCCUUUAUGCCCAGGGCUUCACACGUGCUACAAUGGUCGAUACAGAGCGACGCAAGACCGUGAGGUGGAGCAAAUCGCAAAAAGUCGGCCCCAGUUCGGAUUGUAGGCUGGCAACUCGCCUACAUGAAGGUGGAAUCGCUAGUAAUCGCGUGUCAGCUAUAACGCGGUGAAUGUGUUCCUGAGCCUUGUACACACCGCCCGUCAAGUGAUGGGAGUUGGGAGUACCCGAAGUCGGAUUGCUAACCCAGUUUACUGGGAGGCGUCUGCCGACGGUAAGCCCGAUGACUGGCACUAAGUCGUAACAAGGUA